AUGCUUAACACUUUGUUAAAAUUUUAUCAGGAAAACUUUGAGAUAACAUCAGAUCAAGAAGCAGCUGUAGUAAUAAACAUUGCACAGUCUCUGUCGAAAGAUUUGAAAGCUUUUUGUGAAAAGAAAGCAACUCUCAAGUAUAUUAAAACUCUUCCAUCGUUGAUGUCACAAGGGGAAAUAAAUGAAAGUCAGCAUAAUCCUGUCAAACCAUUUGAAAGUAACAAAGACCAACCAGGAGAUGGUUGGACUAAGCAUGGAGGUCUGACAGAGGGACUUGCAAAGUUACAGGCCCUAUUACAACAGGUGCCAAUUACUUCACACACCCGUGCUGAUUCAUCUGACUACCGACUGGGGAGGAAAACUUCUUUACAUGGCCUGUAUUCUAACGAUCUUGCAACAGUGUCUGCUCUUAAAGGUUCGCUUGCCUUUCAACCAGGAAGCUUUCAUUCUGGAAUGAAUAAGUGGAUGAAAGAAUUCAACCAGUCUGCUUCGACUUAUUUCCAGUCAACCCCAGCUGAAGAAGAGUCUCCCCACUUUAGAUCAGCACGAAGAAACUACAUGACGAAACGUAAUCAGGAUGGUAACAUAGAUAGUAGAAUAAAAAGCUGGGAUAAAGUAAAGGAGUCACAUGAUUCAAAAGCACAUCCUCUUAACCUCAUCUCAUAUCCUCCUCCAAAACGUUAUCAGGCAGGUUACCCUUCAGAAAGAAAAUCCUCAAGGUAUCAUGAUGAGCAUGGAAAUAGAAAUGAGAUGCCUUCGCCUUCCUGUUCUUCUGAAAGCAGGGGGUCUAGCUGGCCACAACAACCAGACUACCAUCGAUCAAUCCCUGACAACAAUCUGGGAUCUUAUCCCUCUUCUUCUAGUGGACGUUCACACAGAAAUUACCACCAGCAGAAUGCACAACUAGAUCGUGUAAUGGAUGGUAACAGCAGUGAUCUUAUUACCAACAUUAUGAAUCAGAUUCGAGGACAGGAUGCUGCUACAUUGGUGAGCAUACUCGAGCAGUUGCUGCCGCAUUACCCGGAUCUUCAAAAAAUAAAUAUUCAUGCACUCGCCCAAGCUCUGAGUGAAAUGAAUUAA
ensembl:lncRNA